rnacentral:lncRNA from 1 species
UGUUAUUAUGUGCAUUAAGGUCAAAAGACCACAAAACCAAACCAGAUACACAAACAAGUAUAUACAAUUACAAUAUAAUCACAAAGUAAGGCUCAAGUGAGCAAAGUGAAAAUGGCAUUAAAAUAAACAAGUUAAAUAGUAUUAAUAAUGGAAAAUGAAUAAAGACUUUAAUUUAAAGUGCAUAAAAGUAAAGAGCUUCAAAUUAAAUGUUAGUUAAAUGUUAGUUGAUUAGAAGUUAGUAUGACGUUUGCUUUUUG